GGAGCAUGUGGCUUAAUUUGACUCAACGCGGGAAAUCUUACCGGGUCCGGACACACUGAGGAUUGACAGGCAAUAUCUCAUGUUAACGGUAAGUUUACUUACCGCUUAACAUCGAGUGUUAAAUAUGCUAGUCCUUUCAUGAUUAUGUGAUAGGUGGUGCAUGGCCGUUCUUAGUUCGUGGAGUGAUCUGUCUGCUUAAUUGCGUUUCACUAAGGGCCCAUAAAUUCAAGGUAUGUUAGCUCUCGUCGCUCUAUGGACCCCUUAACUCCAAUAUUCUUAUUGUGUUAAGCGCGUGUCUUUAUUUUAAGAGUUUUAAGACACUGCGCAUGCUGUUGGGCUCUGAAAGCAACGAACGUGACCGCAACGUCUUGUUGCCUUAAACUAGCGUAUAUUGCAAUUUAUUGCAAUAUCGCUUACAGAGGCUAUUUAAAACUAGACGGACCGCUGUUUCUUUCUUAAACCAGAGGAAGGUUGCGGCAAUAACAGGU
rnacentral:rRNA from 1 species